CCAAAGGCUCUUUUCAGAGCCACCCCCAUACUCAUUGAAAAGGGCU
rfam:Canis lupus familiaris chromosome 35, whole genome shotgun sequence.